GGCGGAGUGGCCGAGUGGUUAUGGCGAUUGACUAGAAAUCAAUUGGGUUCGCCCGCGCAGGUUCGAGUCCUGUCUCCGUCG
rfam:Metarhizium majus ARSEF 297 Scaffold_41, whole genome shotgun sequence.